rnacentral:rRNA from 1 species
GAUGAACGCUGGCGGCGUGCCUAAUACAUGCAAGUCGAGCGAACUGAUUAGAAGCUUGCUUCUAUGACGUUAGCGGCGGACGGGUGAGUAACACGUGGGCAACCUGCCUGUAAGACUGGGAUAACUUCGGGAAACCGAAGCUAAUACCGGAUAGAAUCUUCUCCUUCAUGGGAGAUGAUUGAAAGAUGGUUUCGGCUGUCACUUACAGAUGGGCCCGCGGUGCAUUAGCUAGUUGGUGAGGUAACGGCUCACCAAGGCAACGAUGCAUAGCCGACCUGAGAGGGUGAUCGGCCACACUGGGACUGAGACACGGCCCAGACUCCUACGGGAGGCAGCAGUAGGGAAUCUUCCGCAAUGGACGAAAGUCUGACGGAGCAACGCCGCGUGAGUAAUGAAGGCUUUCGGGUCGUAAAACUCUGUUGUUAGGGAAGAACAAGUACGAGAGUAACUGCUCGUACCUUGACGGUACCUAACCAGAAAGCCACGGCUAACUACGUGUCAGCCGCCGCCGUAA